rnacentral:rRNA from 1 species
AUUGAACGCUGGCGGCAGGCCUAACACAUGCAAGUCGAACGGAGCGGCGGACGGGUGAGUAAUGCCUAGGAAUCUGCCUGGUAGUGGGGGAUAACGUCCGGAAACGGGCGCUAAUACCGCAUACUAUCAGAUGAGCCUAGGUGGGAUUAGCUAGUGGGUGGGGUAAAGGCCUACCAAGGCGACGAUCCGUAACUGGUCUGAGAGGAUGAUCAGUCACACUGGAACUGAGACACGGUCCAGACUCCUACGGGAGGCAGCAGUGGGGAAUAUUGCACAAUGGGCGAAAGCCUGAUCCAGCCAUGCCGCGUGUGUGAAGAAGGUCUUCGGAUUGUAAAGCACUUUAAGUUGGGAGGCGUUACCCACAGAAUAAGCACCGGCUAACUUCGUGCCAGCCGCCGCGGUAAUAC